rfam:Stegodyphus mimosarum contig114950, whole genome shotgun sequence.
GCCUUCGUGGGGUAGCGGUCAGCACCCUCGUCCCGUAUUCGAGAGGUUCGUGGUUCGAGUCCCGGCGAAGGCA